rnacentral:rRNA from 1 species
AUUGAACGCUGGCGGCAUGCCUUACACAUGCAAGUCGAACGGCAGCACGGGAGCAAUCCUGGUGGCGAGUGGCGAACGGGUGAGUAAUAUAUCGGAACGUGCCCAGUCGUGGGGGAUAACGUAGCGAAAGCUACGCUAAUACCGCAUACGAUCUAUGGAUGAAAGCGGGGGAUCGCAAGACCUCGCGCGAUUGGAGCGGCCGAUAUCAGAUUAGCUAGUUGGUGGGGUAAAAGCUCACCAAGGCGACGAUCUGUAGCUGGUCUGAGAGGACGACCAGCCACACUGGAACUGAGACACGGUCCAGACUCCUACGGGAGGCAGCAGUGGGGAAUUUUGGACAAUGGGCGCAAGCCUGAUCCAGCCAUGCCGCGUGCGGGAAGAAGGCCUUCGGGUUGUAAACCGCUUUUGUCAGGGAAGAAAUCUUCUGGGCUAAUACCUCGGGAGGAUGACGGUACCUGAAGAAUAAGCACCGGCUAACUACGUG